rnacentral:rRNA from 1 species
CGGCGGACGGGUGAGUAACACGUGGAUAACCUACCUAUAAGACUGGGAUAACUUCGGGAAACGGAGCUAAUACCGGAUAAUAUUUUGAACCGCAUGGUUCAAAAGUAAAAGACGGUCUUGACUGUCACUUAUAGCAUGGAUCCGCGCUGCAUUAGCUAGUUGGUAAGGUAACGGCUUACCAAGGCAACGAUGCAUAGCCGACCUGAGAGGGUGAUCGGCCACACUGGAACUGAGACACGGUCCAGACUCCUACGGGAGGCAGCAGUAGGGAAUCUUCCGCAAUGGGCGAAAGCCUGACGGAGCAACGCCGAGUGAGUGAUGAAGGUCUUCGGAUCGUAAAACUCUGUUAUUAGGGAAGAACAUAUGUGUAAGUAACUGUGCACAUCUUGACGGUACCUAAUCAGAAAGCCACGGCUAACUACGUGCCAGCAGCCGCGGUAAUACGUAGUUGGCAAGCGUAAUCCGGAAUUAUUGGGCGUAAAGCGCGCGUAGCGGUUUUUUAAGUCUGAUGUGAAAGCCCACGGCUCAACCGUGGAGGGUCAUUGGAAACUGGAAAACUUGAGUGCAGAAGAGGAAAGUGGAAUUCCAUGUGUAGCGGUGAAAUGCGCAGAGAUAUGGAGGUACACCAGUGGCGAAGGCGACUUUCUGGUCUGUAACUGACGCUGAUGUGCGAAAGCGUGGGGAUCAAACAGGAUUAGAUACCUGGUAGUCCACGCCGUAAACGAUGAGUGCUAAGUGUUAGGGGGUUUCCGCCCCUUAGUGUUGCAGCUAACGCAUUAAGCACUCCGCCUGG